UACGGAGGGUGCAAACGUUGCUCGGAAUCAUUGGGCGUAAAGCGCACGUAGGCGGUCCAGCAAGUCGGGUGUGAAAGCCCUGGGCUUAACCCAGGAAGUGCAUUCGAAACUGCUGGACUUGAAUACUGGAGAGGGUCGCGGAAUUCCCGGUGUAGAGGUGAAAUUCGUAGAUAUCGGGAGGAACACCAGUGGCGAAGGCGGCGACCUGGACAGAUAUUGACGCUGAGGUGCGAAAGCGUGGGGAGCAAACAGG
rnacentral:rRNA from 1 species